AUCUUCCGCAAUGGGCGAAAGCCUGACGGAGCAACGCCGCGUGAGUGAGGAAGGGUUUCGGCUCGUAAAACUCUGUGAUUAGGGAAGAACAAAAGUGUAAGUAACUGUGCACAUCUUGACGGUACCUAAUCAGAAAGCAACGGCUAACUAAGUGCGAGAAGCCGCGGUAAUACGUAGGUGGCAAGCGUUAUCUGGAAUUAUUGGGCGUAAAGCGCGCGUAGGCGGUUUCUUAAGUCUGAUGUGAAAGCCCACGGCUCAACCGUGGAGGGUCAUUGGAAACUGGGAAACUUGAGUGCAGAAGAGGAAAGUGGAAUUCCAUGUGUAGCGGUGAAAUGCGCAGAGAUAUGGAGGAACACCAGUGGCGAAGGCGACUUUCUGGUCUGUAACUGACGCUGAUGUGCGAAAGCGUGGGGAUCAAACA
rnacentral:rRNA from 1 species